rnacentral:rRNA from 1 species
CCUACGGGUGGCAGCAGUGAGGAAUAUUGGUCAAUGGGCGUAAGCCUGAACCAGCCAAGUCGCGUGAGGGAUGAAGGUUCUAUGGAUCGUAAACCUCUUUUAUAAGGGAAUAAAGUGUGGGACGUGUCCUAUUUUGUCUGUACCUUAUGAAUAAGGAUCGGCUAACUCCGUGCCAGCAGCCGCGGUAAUACGGAGGAUCCGAGCGUUAUCUGGAUUUAUUGGGUUUAAGGGGUGCGUAGGCGGCGUUUUAAGUCAGCGGUGAAAGUCUGUGGCUCAACCAUAGAAUUGCCGUUGAAACUGGGGGGCUUGAGUAUGUUUGAGGCAGGCGGAAUGCGUGGUGUAGCGGUGAAAUGCUUAGAUAUCACGCAGAACACCAGUGGCGAAGGCAGCCUGCCAAGCCAUGACUGACGCUGAGGCACGAAAGCGUGGGGAUCAAACAGGAUUAGAUACCCGAGUAGUC